CUGAUGCGUUGUUGGGUAGGGGAGCGUUCUGUAAGCCUGUGAAGGUGGCCUGUGAGGGUUGCUGGAGGUAUCAGAAGUGCGAAUGCUGACAUAAGUAACGAUAAAGCGGGUGAAAAGCCCGCUCGCCGGAAGACCAAGGGUUCCUGUCCAACGUUAAUCGGGGCAGGGUGAGUCGACCCCUAAGGCGAGGCCGAAAGGCGUAGUCGAUGGGAAACGGGUUAAUAUUCCCGUACUUGGUGUUACUGCGAAGGGGGGACGGAGAAGGCUAUGUUGGCCGGGCGACGGUUGUCCCGGUUUAAGCGUGUAGGUGUGUGUUCCAGGUAAAUCCGGUUCACUUUAACACUGAGGCGUGAUGACGAGGCACUACGGUGCUGAAGCAACAAAUGCCCUGCUUCCAGGAAAAGCCUCUAAGCAUCAGGUAACAUCAAAUCGUACCCCAAACCGACACAGGUGGUCAGGUAGAGAAUACCAAGGCGCUUGAGAGAACUCGGGUGAAGGAACUAGGCAAAAUGGUGCCGUAACUUCGGGAGAAGGCACGCUGACACGUAGGUGAAGUGAUUUACUCAUGGAGCUGAAGUCAGUCGAAGAUACCAGCUGGCUGCAACUGUUUAUUAAAAACACAGCACUGUGCAAACACGAAAGUGGACGUAUACGGUGUGACGCCUGCCCGGUGCCGGAAGGUUAAUUGAUGGGGUCAGCGCAAGCGAAGCUCCUGAUCGAAGCCCCGGUAAACGGCGGCCGUAACUAUAACGGUCCUAAGGUAGCGAAAUUCCUUGUCGGGUAAGUUCCGACCUGCACGAAUGGCGUAAUGAUGGCCAGGCUGUCUCCACCCGAGACUCAGUGAAAUUGAACUCGCUGUGAAGAUGCAGUGUACCCGCGGCAAGACGGAAAGACCCCGUGAACCUUUACUAUAGCUUGACACUGAACAUUGAGCCUUGAUGUGUAGGAUAGGUGGGAGGCUUUGAAGUGUGG
rnacentral:rRNA from 1 species